rnacentral:snRNA from 1 species
GGAUGUGAGGGCGAUCUGGCUGCGACAUCUGUCACCCCAUUGAUCGCCAGGGUUGAUUCGGCUGAUUUGGCUGGCUAGGCGGGUGUCCCCUUCCUCCCUCACCGCUCCAUGUGCGUCCCUCCCGAAGCUGCGUGAUCGGUCGAAGAGGACGACCUUCCCCGAAUAGAGGAGGACCAGUCUUCAGUCAGUCAAGGGUAUACGAGUAGCUGCGCUCCCCUGCUAGAACCUCCAAACAAGCUCAAGAAACGCUCAACUUCCUUAGUCAGCAGGAAGAUGCAAAUCAAAAUGACCCUGAGAUUU